GAAUCAAUUAGUCACACCUCCUCAGAAAAUCAUUGAGAAGAUAUUUGAUUUCUUCAUAUCUUGAUUUCUCGAUCUCAAUUGUUAAUCUCGAAGGAAUCUCUAUUGCUAUUCUCGACUUGCGAUUCGCUAAUCUCUAAUCUCGACUGCUACUUUGUUCUGCCGACUUGUAUGUGCUCUGCUAAUCUGAAAUUAGGGUUUCUUUGCUGGGUUUCUGCUAAUCUGAACUGCUACUCUGUUGUGCUACUCUAUUGUACUUUGCUUGUUUUUUGCUGGGUUUGCUAGGUUUCAAUUCGCCGGGUUGUGAAAUUAGGGUUCUUUGUCGGGUUUCUGGUAAAUCUCAAGAACAAGGGUCCUUUUACUUGCCAAAUCACGUUGUGAUUGGAAGCUAUAUUCCUGGCUAUCAGCAGGAGCCAAAGCCUAAAACGCAGAGAUCCGAGUUUGCACCAACUAUCUCUUCAGUCCCUGCUCCUAAUCAUGCUUAUGCAGGAAGUAUUGAUUCAAUAUAUAAUCUUGCGAUGCAAAGCAUCACCCCUCCUUCAUAUCAUGGAAUCAAUGGGAAUGCAGGUAAUUCUGUUAGUGGCCCAAGUAUUCUUGCUGCGGAAAAUAAUAUUUCUAGUAUCAGGUAUCAAAUUGGGGGUAGCAAUCUUUGUUCCAUUACAAUAUACAGUUACUAUUUACGCGUUAAGUUACAGGGUGAAAAGUGUAAAGGGUGCAAAUAAACAACAAUUCCCGUACGAGGUGCUUAUCUUAUUGUUUUAUACUUCCAUCUAUAUUUAAGAUUGAUUAUCACUACAAGUGGUGUUAGUGCUGACUUGGGUCUUUUUAGUUUGUUUUCCAGACGAAGUAAAUCAGUCCAUUGUAAUAAGUGGUGAAAGUGGAGCCGGAAAACUGAAACGGCUAAGAUAGCAAUGCAAUGUUGGGCUGCACUUGGAGGCGGAAAUGGCAUAGAAUACGAAAUAUUAAAAACUAAUCCUAUUCUGGAGGCCUUUGGUGAUGCAAAGACAUCAAGAAAUAACAACUCUAUUCGAUUUCUCGUCAUUUUGCAGGCACUAAAUCUACCAAACUAUGUGAAGCACAGCUUCAAUCCUUCUGUGUUGGCCUUGAUGUAUAUCUGUUGCCUUUAAUAACAGAUUACAUUAAAUUGUUUUUGAGUGCCCACCAAGAGUUUCACUUCACUGUUCAGGUCCCUGGCCAUCAGAAAAGGUUCUUGCUUAUUGCUUGUUGCUAUGGCCGCUGAAGCUUCGGAAGUUAAGUAGUGGAUUGUAUCCUUUUCACUUUGUCAUGUGCAGCUCCAUCCUGUUACUAAGGAGGUAAUCAUAUUUUUAAUACUGUGUAUUUUUCUUUUCUUCUCAGCUUACAAUUAAUCUUUAAUGUUUAACUUUAUGCAGUACUUAGUUUAGACAUUUUAUAGUUAUUUCCCACAAGCUCUAGGAAAUUCAAGAGUGUGUAUAUAUAUCAGACUUCUCACAUUGUAGCCCAAAACAGUGAAUGCUUCUUAUGACGAUAAUGAGGCUGCAGAUUUAUUAUGACCAUUCCCUGUUGAAAUAUUACCAGAUAAUGUGACACUGUUUUGUGGUAAUAGACCACCGGUCUGUUGGAACGUUUCAGGUCAGGGUGAUCAAAUUACUCUGCCUAAUUGGUUAGAUGGCACAAUGUAUAUUUAUAAGUACAUUUGAUAAUCCUAUAUGUAAUAACAUUUCUCGACUCAAAAAAAUAAACAAAUAAAAUGUCUGCUCCUUCCUGCUAAACACACCUUUCAUUUUGUUAUGUGUGUUGCACUAAUACAAACUAGUAUUACUCUUAGCCGGCCUACUCUUUUGCUCCUUUCAGGAAAGCAAGUCUAUAGGUGCUGAGUAAACUGAGGAAUGAGGUUUAAUAAAUUAGAAUAUAGUAUAGUCUUUACACGGCUCAACAAUUUAGAAAAUAUUAGUAUUGUGACUAUGGUCCGUAUUUUUUUUAUGUAUAUAGUAUAUUAUUCUUCUUUUAUGUAUUCAGUCAUGAUCGUGUAAUUAGGAUUGUUAAUCUAAUAUCUAAUAAUUCAUAUAGUAUCUGCUGGUUAUUCAUUCUAGUUUUUUUAUUAGCAAGUUGAUAGCUCCAUGGACAGGAUCAGAAGUUAAGGUACUUGUUAAAUUCAUGGUUGGAGAGGAAGAUGCGAAUGGUUCUAAUUUUUUGGUCAUGCAGGACGCUGAAGAAAAUUGAUAGUGCAUUCAAAUGUAUAUCAAAUGUAUAAAUUUGGCUAUUAAUUGUUAAGUUUUCAUUACAUAUUGCUCUUUGUAGAGGCAUAUUGUUCCAUGUAAUAAUCAACUAUGUAAUAUUUUUUUCUUAAUAAGAUCCAAUUGAUGGUUUACUCUUCUUAUGUAA